rnacentral:ncRNA from 1 species
AGAUAAAUAUUUAUGAUUUUGAAAAUUUAUUUAUAAUUUAUUUUAUAUAUAAAUUUUAGUAUUAAUUUUUAAUUAUUUUAAUAAUAUUUAAUUUAAUUUAAAUGUAGUAAAUAAAAUUAAAAAUUUAAGAAAUUAAGAUUUAGUAAUAUUAAAAUUAUUAGCAAAUUUUGUGCCAGCAGCUGCGGUUAUACAAAAAUUAAAAUAAAUUUUUUUAGUUUUAAAUAAAUAAUUUAAAAAUUUAAAUUAAAUAUUAAAUUAUUAGGUGAAAUUUUAAUUUAAUUAAAAUUUAUUUUAUUUAUGAUUUUGGAAAUUUUAUUAUAAACUAGGAUUAGAUACCCUAUUAUUAAAAAUUUAAAUUUAUAAUACUAAAAUAUUAAAUAAUUAAUUAUUGAAACUUAAAUAAUUUGGCGGUAUUUUAGUUCAUUUAGAGGAAUCUGUUUAAUAAUUGAUAAUUCACGAAUAAAUUUACUUAAUUUUUUUUUUAUUUUGUAUAUCGUUGUUAAAAAAAUAUUUUUUUAUAAUAAUAAUAUUUAAAAAUUAUAAUAAAAAAUUAAUUCAGAUCAAGAUGCAGAUAAUAAUUAAGAAUAUAAUGGAUUACAAUAAAUUUAUUUAAAUGAAUAUUAUUUUGUAAAAAAUAAUUGAAGGUGGAUUUAAAUGUAAUUUUAUUUAUUUUAAUAAAAUGAUUUUAAAUUAAAAUAUGUACAUAUUGCCCGUCGCUUUCAUUUGAAAAUUGGAAUAAGUCGUAACAAAGUAGAGGUACUGGAAAGUGUUUCUAGAAAGA